rnacentral:tRNA from 1 species
GUCUUGGUGGCUGAGUGGUAAAGAGCUUCGCUUGGGAACCGAGAGGUCCCGGUUUGAGUCCUGGUGAAGACU